rnacentral:rRNA from 1 species
CCUACGGGAGGCAGCAGUGGGGAAUAUUGGGCAAUGGGCGCAAGCCUGACCCAGCAACGCCGCGUGAAGGAAGAAGGCUUUCGGGUUGUAAACUACUUUUAUCAGGGAGGAAGCAAGUGACGGUACCUGAUGAAUAAGCCACGGCUAACUACGUGCCAGCAGCCGCGGUAAUCCGUAGGGGGCAAGCGUUAUACGGAUUUACUGGGUGUAAAGGGCGGGUAGGCGGGAUUGCAAGUCAGAUGUGAAAACUAUGGGCUCAACCCAUAGCCUGCAUUUGAAACUGUACUUCUUGAGUGCUGGAGAGGCAAUCGGAAUCCCGUGUGUAGCGGUGAAAUGCGUAGAGAUACGGAGGAACACCAGUGGCGAAGGCGGAUUGCUGGACAGUAACUGACGCUGAUGUGCGAAAGCGUGGGGAGCAAACAGGAUUAGAUACCCGUGUAGUC